GAUGAACGCUGGCGGCGUGCCUAAUACAUGCAAGUCGAGCGAACGGACGAGAAGCUUGCUUCUCUGAUGUUAGCGGCGGACGGGUGAGUAACACGUGGAUAACCUACCUAUAAGACUGGGAUAACUUCGGGAAACCGGAGCUAAUACCGGAUAAUAUUUUGAACCGCAUGGUUCAAAAGUGAAAGACGGUCUUGCUGUCACUUAUAGAUGGAUCCGCGCUGCAUUAGCUAAUUGGUAAGGUAACGGCUUACCAAGGCAACGAUGCAUAGCCGACCUGAGAGGGUGAUCGGCCACACUGGAACUGAGACACGGUCCAGACUCCUACGGGAGGCAGCAGUAGGGAAUCUUCCGCAAUGGGCGAAAGCCUGACGGAGCAACGCCGCGUGAGUGAUGAAGGUCUUCGGAUCGUAAAACUCUGUUAUUAGGGAAGAACAUAUGUGUAAGUAACUGUGCACAUCUUGACGGUACCUAAUCAGAAAGCCACGGCUAACUACGUGCCAGCAGCCGCGGUAAUACGUAGGUGGCAAGCGUUAUCCGGAAUUAUUGGGCGUAAAGCGCGCGUAGGCGGUUUUUUAGGUCUGAUGUGAAAGCCCACGGCUCAACCGUGGAGGGUCAUUGGAAACUGGAAAACUUGAGUGCAGAAGAGGAAAGUGGAAUUCCAUGUGUAGCGGUGAAAUGCGCAGAGAUAUGGAGGAACACCAGUGGCGAAGGCGACUUUCUGGUCUGUAACUGACGCUGAUGUGCGAAAGCGUGGGGAUCAAACAGGAUUAGAUACCCUGGUAGUCCACGCCGUAAACGAUGAGUGCUAAGUGUUAGGGGGUUUCCGCCCCUUAGUGCUGCAGCUAACGCAUUAAGCACUCCGCCUGGGGAGUACGACCGCAAGGUUGAAACUCAAAGGAAUUGACGGGGACCCGCACAAGCGGUGGAGCAUGUGGUUUAAUUCGAAGCAACGCGAAGAACCUUACCAAAUCUUGACAUCCUUUGACAACUCUAGAGAUAGAGCCUUCCCCUUCGGGGGACAAAGUGACAGGUGGUGCAUGGUUGUCGUCAGCUCGUGUCGUGAGAUGUUGGGUUAAGUCCCGCAACGAGCGCAACCCUUAAGCUUAGUUGCCAUCAUUAAGUUGGGCACUCUAAGUUGACUGCCGGUGACAAACCGGAGGAAGGUGGGGAUGACGUCAAAUCACCAUGCCCCUUAUGAUUUGGGCUACACACGUGCUACAAUGGACAAUACAAAGGGCAGCGAAACCGCGAGGUCAAGCAAAUCCCAUAAAGUUGUUCUCAGUUCGGAUUGUAGUCUGCAACUCGACUACAUGAAGCUGGAAUCGCUAGUAAUCGUAGAUCAGCAUGCUACGGUGAAUACGUUCCCGGGUCU
rnacentral:rRNA from 1 species